rnacentral:rRNA from 1 species
AUACGGAAGGUCCGGGCGUUAUCCGGAUUUAUUGGGUUUAAAGGGAGCGCAGGCGGAGAUGCAAGCGUGACGUCAAAUUUCGGGGCUCAACCCCGUCUCGCGUCGCGAACUGCGUCCCUUGGUUGCGGGAAGGGGAGGCGGAACUCGUGGUGUAGAGGUGGAAUGCAUAGAUAUCACGAAGAACUCCGAUCGCGAAGGCAGCCUUCCGGCCCGUCAACGACGCUCAUGCUCGAAGGUGCGGGUAUCAAACAGGAUUAGAUACCCUGGUAGUCCGCACAGUAAACGAUGAAUACUUGUUUUCGGCGAUAUAAUGUCGGAGGCAAAGCGAAAGCGAUAAGUAUUCCACCUGGGGAGUACGCCGGCAACGGUGAAACUCAAAGGAAUUGGCGGGG